AUAUGGCACCCACCCACCCACGUGUGGCAGGAGCGGGGGAACCAGGUAGUUCGCCGGACGGGAAUUCCCGGACGGCUCGGGGUGAAGUCGCGCCAACGCGCGGCCGGGCAGCUCCAGUCCGAACCCGACAGCUCACCUCGUAGGCGCCGGAGAGGAAUU
rnacentral:sRNA from 2 species